AGUGAACGCUGGCGGUAGGCCUAACACAUGCAAGUCGAACGGCAGCACAGUAAGAGCUUGCUCUUACGGGUGGCGAGUGGCGGACGGGUGAGGAAUACAUCGGAAUCUACUUUUUCGUGGGGGAUAACGUAGGGAAACUUACGCUAAUACCGCAUACGACCUACGUGUGAAAGCAGGGGAUCUUCGGACCUUGCGCGAUUGAAUGAGCCGAUGUCGGAUUAGCUAGUUGGCGGGGUAAAGGCCCACCAAGGCGACGAUCCGUAGCUGGUCUGAGAGGAUGAUCAGCUACACUGGAACUGAGACACGGUCCAGACUCCUACGGGAGGAAGCAGUGGGGAAUAUUGGACAAUGGGCGCGAGCCGGAUCCAGCCCUACCGCGUGGGUGAAGAAGGACUUCGGGUUGUAAAGCCAUUUUGUUGGGAAAGAAAAGCAGCAGGUUAAUACCCCGCUGUUCUGACGGUACCCAAAGAAUAAGCACCGGCUAACUUCGUG
rnacentral:rRNA from 1 species